UACGUAGGUGGCAAGCGUUGUCCGGAUUUAUUGGGUUUAAAGGGUGCGUAGGCGGCCCUGUAAGUCAGUGCUGAAAUAUCCCGGCUUAACCGGGAGGGUGGCAUUGAUACUGCGGGGCUAGAGUACAGAUGAGGUAGGCGGAAUUGACGGUGUAGCGGUGAAAUGCUUAGAUAUCGUCAAGAACACCUAUAGCGAAGGCAGCUUACUAGGCUGUAACUGACGCUGAGGCACGAAAGCGUGGGGAUCAAACAGG
rnacentral:rRNA from 1 species